AUGUAUCUAUCGCUUUUGACCUGGACAUCGGCGCUCGACCGCUCGAGAGCCUCGACGUACCCCACUGGCCCACUCAGACCCACCAACGCGCGCGGCACCCACCCAGACCCAAACGCGACAGUGCGACACCCACCCAAACCUAGCGCGGCGGCGGCGGCUGGCCAGGUCGCGAGGACCAGGCGGACGCGACGACGGCAGUCGACGGCGGCAACGGGCUGGGGGCUUGGAGGGCUGUUGCACAGCGGCACCUUCAGCGGCGGCUCCAGGCCUCCCGCGGCGCAGCAAGCGGCGGCUCCAGGCCUCCAGCGGCGCAUCAAGCGGCGGCUCCGGCGGCGGCCGCAGCUGCGGCUCCGUCGACGACUUCACCAGCGGCUCCAGCGGGCGACGGCGAGAGCCGAAGUCGGGGAUUUUUCUGAGUGCCAGAAGAUGGAAGGAAGGGGGAAGGGACUAGCAAAUUCAAAGAAAAGGGGAAGAGAUUUGAAAAGGUAUUUUAAAGUGAUUGGUAGUGACAGCAGCUCAAAAACGAAUCCAAGCACCCGCGAAAGUGUCAAUAUUUCAGCAAAUGUCAAUCAUCAAGAUCAAGUGACUUCCAUGGAAGUAGAUCAUGAAAAUUUGAUGCCAACCGAACAAGUGGAAGAACAAACUACAGAUUCCGUCGAAGCUAUAGUGGAAGAGAAUGUUGAAGUUCACGGGAUUGAAGGUAUAACUAUUUUUAGUGAAGAUUACAUAAAGGGUGAUCCAGGACUUCGCAUUCCACUCGAUAGUUUUGCCCCCAACAUUAGAGAUGAUGUUAGAUUUGCUUAUAUACGAAUGGGUGCAACUCAACCAACUAGUUGCACUUUCCCCCCAAAUAGAGAUGGAAGAUGCUUCCGGCCACAAUGGUAUAAGGAUUUUGUUUGGUUGGAAUAUAGUGUAACAACACAUAAGGCUUAUUGCUUCUGUUGCUAUCUUUUUAAGCAUGACCGAAUAGAUGAUAAAUUUGGGCAUGAUGUCUUCUCCAAAUUGGAUUUUGACUGUUGGAAAAAUGCGGUUGCGGCAUUUCGUAAACAUGUUGGUGGGCCAUGUAGCAUCCACAAUAUAUCAAAAACAGCAUGCGAUGAUUUUAAAAAUCAAGGGGCAAGUGUGAAAAGUAAAGUUACAACUUACAGCCAAGGUUCACUUGUCAAGUAUGAAACUCGUGUGGAUACAUCUUUGGGCAUUGUAAGUUACCUAGCAUUGCAAGGUGAACCAUUUCGUGGACAUGAUGAAUCCAGUUCUUCUUUGAACAAGGGGAAUUUUUUAGAGUUGCUUGAUUGGGUCAAAGAAAGAAUUCCGGAAGUGAAGGUUGCAUUUGAUGAGCUAUGUCCUCAAAAUGCCAAAAUGACUUCCGGGACAAUUCAAAAAGAACUUGUCAAACAUUGUGCAACUGCAGUCACCACAGUAAUCAAAGAAGAGAUGGGUGAUUGUCUUUUCACUGUUCUUAUUGAUGAGUGUCGUGAUAUAUCGGUGAAAGAACAAAUGGCCGUGGUUGUCAGGUAUGUCAGUACUUCAUCUUGCAAGAGGAAGGAUAAAUUGCUUGACAAGCAAAAGGAAGAUCUUUUGGAUAAGAUUGAGAGAGGUGAGAUGCCCACAGGAAGAGGGAAAAAUCAAGAAACAUCGUUGGUCAGACCUGGAGACACAAGAUGGGGAUCUCAUUACACAACCUUAUCUCGCAUUGAAUCAAUGUGGGAUGCAGUCAUAGAAGUUUUGGGCAUUGUUGAGGAUGAUGUGCGUGUUCCAUGUAGGGCAGGAGGUUUGGUUCAUCAAAUGGAGACCUUUAGCUUUGUGUUCAUCCUGAAGAUGAUGCUAAAAAUCCUUCGUAUCACAAAUGAUUUAUCUCUUCUAUUGCAAAAGAAGGAUCAAAAUGUUGUUCAGGCAAUGUCAUUGGUUACAGAUGUGAGAACACGUUUGGUCAACUGGAGAAAUGAUGGUUGGGAGCCACUCUUGGAAGAUGUCAAAGUGUUUUGCACCAAAAACGACAUUCCAAUACCAAGUAUGGAUGACAUCUUUACAAAGUGGGGUAAAUCAAGAAAAGGUGGACGAAACAAUGUGACGGCUGAUCAUUUUUUUCGUGUGGACACCUUCUAUGCUGCUAUAGACUCCAUCACCACGGAGUUUGAUCAUCGUUUUAAUGAGGUAUCUUCAGAGCUGCUCCAGAACUUCUCUUGUCUUGACCCAAGAAACUCGUUUUCUAGGUUCAACUUGAAUAAGCUUGCUAGGCUCACAGAGAUUUAUCAUGAUGAUUUCUCUGACUAUGAACGUGAACAUAUAGAAGAUAACCUUGAUCUAUUCAUUAUCCAUAUGAGAAGAAUUGAAGACUUUAGAGCUUGUCAUGAUAUUGCAAGCCUAGCUAAAAUGAUGGUUGAACUUGAAAGGCAUGUCAUGUUUCCUACUGUUUAUCGCCUCAUUGAAUUGGCAUUGCUACUACCGGUAGCGACGGCAACUGUUGAAAGGGCCUUCUCAUCAAUGAAAAUUAUCAAGACUGAGUUGCGCAGCAAGAUGACCGAUGGUUGGCUUAAUGACUUGAUGGUUUGUUACAUUGAGCGAGAGAUCUUCAAAAGUAUAGAUCUUGGUAAAAUUAAGCAAGAUUUUCAGAAUGAAGGUAGGGCAUUGCCAUUGCCUGGGUCUUCUAGACGCCAUUGA
rnacentral:rRNA from 1 species